UUGAAACUGUAUGACUUGAGUGCAGGAGAGGUAAGCGGAAUUCCUAGUGUAGCGGUGAAAUGCGUAGAUAUUAGGAGGAACACCAGUGGCGAAGGCGGCUUACUGGACUGUAACUGACGCUGAGACACGAAAGCGUGGGUAGCAAACAGGAUUAGAUACCCUGGUAGUCCACGCUGUAAACGAUGAGUGCUAGGUGUUGGGUAGCGAUAUUCAGUGCCGGAGUAAACACAAUAAGCACUCCGCGUGGGGAGUACGUACGCAAGUAUGAAACUCAAAGGAAUUGACGGGGACCCGCACAAGCAGCGGAGCAUGUGGUUUAAUUCGAAGCAACGCGAAGAACCUUACCAAGGCUUGACAUCCCCUUGACCAGUGCAGAGAUGUACUCUCUUCUUCGGAAGCAAGGGUGACAGGUGGUGCAUGGUUGUCGUCAGCUCGUGUCGUGAGAUGUUGGGUUAAGUCCCGCAACGAGCGCAAC
rnacentral:rRNA from 1 species